CAAUAGCGUAUAUUAAAGUUGUUGCGGUUAAAAAGCUCGUAGUUGGAUUUCUGCCGAGGACGACCGGUCCGCCCUCUGGGUGAGUAUCUGGCUCGGCCUGGGCAUCUUCUUGGAGAACGUAGCUGCACUUGACUGUGUGGUGCGGUAUCCAGGACUUUUACUUUGAGGAAAUUAGAGUGUUUCAAGCAGGCUUACGCCUUGAAUACAUUAGCAUGGAAUAAUAAGAUAGGACCUCGGUUCUAUUUUGUUGGUUUCUAGAGCUGAGGUAAUGAUUAAUAGGGAUAGUUGGGGGCAUUCGUAUUUAACUGUCGGAGGUGAAAUUCUUGGAUUUGUUAAAGACGGACUACUGCGAAAGCAUUUGCCAAGGAUGUUUNCAUUGA
rnacentral:rRNA from 1 species